rnacentral:rRNA from 1 species
GUGAAGGAGGAGCUAGAACUGGAAAAGCAACAAGGAGUGGAGAAUGAACCUAUGAACAGUCUUUCCGAAUUGGAUCUUCUGACGUCUCAUUAUCUCCAAGACGAUCUUCCAAUUAUAUUGGAAGUAUUGCUACGCUCUGAUCAUCUUAUGACAGAUGAAUUGUGGAAAUGGUUGGAAGAGGUCCUGGAGGUUUACUCCCGACCAGAAGUCCUUGGUCGUGGAACCUGGGGCCUCCGCCGCUGUGUUUUUGGUGGAGGCUGGAACCUGGGCCGCCGUGCCUAUUGCCGCCGUGGUCGUGCCCGUGGUUUCGGACACCGUGGUCACGGUCGUGCCCGUGGUUUCGGACACCGGUGA